rnacentral:tRNA from 1 species
GAUGUACUAGCUGAGUGGUAGAGCUUCCGCUUCUUAUGCGGGAAAACCUGAAUUCGAUUCCCGGCUGCUUCU